AUGUACAGGUCAAAGGUAUCAAAUUCAAAAUCUCCAGUAGAAUUCACUUCUCUUUCUGGUCCUGAGACCAUUCAAAUCAUGGAAAUGAAUCUUUUGAUAAGUUUUCUAGUGAUCUUCCCUGCAUACAGUUCCUCACAGAUUACCCUUACGGAGUCUGGCGGUGGUGUGAAGAGACCUGGAGAGUCUCUACGACUGACCUGUACAGUGUCUGGAUUUUCUCUAACUGACUAUAAUAUGCACUGGGUCCGUCAACCCCCUGGAAAAGGGCUGGAGUGGACUGGACGAAUCAGGUAUAAUGGAGAGCUCAGCUAUAGCAGUGCACUUCAAAAUCGGAUCACCAUCACAAGGGACACCUCAAAAGGCCAGGUGUACCUGCAACUGAAUGGCCUGAAGCCUGAAGACACUGCCACAUAUUACUGUGCCAGACUCACAGUUAGACAACCCAACUCAAAGGCUGCACAAAAACCAGCCUAG